rnacentral:rRNA from 1 species
AUUGAACGCUGGCGGCAGGCCUAACACAUGCAAGUCGAACGGCAGCACGGGAGCAAUCCUGGUGGCGAGUGGCGAACGGGUGAGUAAUACAUCGGAACGUGCCCAAUCGUGGGGGAUAACGCAGCGAAAGCUGUGCUAAUACCGCAUACGAUCUACGGAUGAAAGCAGGGGAUCGCAAGACCUUGCGCGAAUGGAGCGGCCGAUGGCAGAUUAGGUAGUUGGUGAGGUAAAGGCUCACCUAGGCGACGAUCCCUAGCUGGUCUGAGAGGAUGACCAGCCACACUGGAACUGAGACACGGUCCAAACUCCUACGGGAGGCAGCAGUAGGGAAUAUUGCGCAAUGGGGGAAACCCUGACGCAGCAACGCCGCGUGGAGGAUGACACUUUUCGGAGCGUAAACUCCUUUUGUUAGGGAAGAAUAAUGACGGUACCUAACGAAUAAGCACCGGCUAACUCCGUGCCAGCAGCCGCGGUAAUACGGAGGGUGCAAGCGUUACUCGGAAUCACUGGGCGUAAAGGACGCGUAGGCGGAUUAUCAAGUCUCUUGUGAAAUCUAACGGCUUAACCGUUAAACUGCUUGGGAAACUGAUAAUCUAGAGUAAGGGAGAGGCAGAUGGAAUUCUUGGUGUAGGGGUAAAAUCCGUAGAUAUCAAGAAGAAUACCUAUUGCGAAGGCGAUCUGCUGGAACUUAACUGACGCUAAUGCGUGAAAGCGUGGGGAGCAAACAGG